CGUACUGAGACACGGACCAGACUCCUACGGGAGGCAGCAGUGGGGAAUUUUCCGCAAUGGGCGAAAGCCUGACGGAGCAACGCCGCGUGAGGGAUGAAGGCCUCUGGGCUGUAAACCUCUUUUCUCAAGGAAGAAGAUCUGACGGUACUUGAGGAAUAAGCCACGGCUAAUUCCGUGCCAGCAGCCGCGGUAAUACGGGAGUGGCAAGCGUUAUCCGGAAUUAUUGGGCGUAAAGCGUCCGCAGGCGGCCUCGUAAGUCUGUCGUUAAAGCGUGGAGCUUAACUCCAUUUCAGCGAUGGAAACUGUGAGGCUAGAGUGUGGUAGGGGCAGAGGGAAUUCCCGGUGUAGCGGUGAAAUGCGUAGAUAUCGGGAAGAACACCAGUGGCGAAGGCGCUCUGCUGGGCCAUAACUGACGCUCAUGGACGAAAGCCAGGGGAGCGAAAGGGAUUAGAUACCCCUGUAGUCCUGGCCGUAAACGAUGAACACUAGGUGUCGGGGGAAUCGACCCCCUCGGUGUCGUAGCCAACGCGUUAAGUGUUCCGCCUGGGGAGUACGCACGCAAGUGUGAAACUCAAAGGAAUUGACGG
rnacentral:rRNA from 1 species